rnacentral:lncRNA from 1 species
ACUGUGGCUGAGCUUGCACCCAAGCUACAAGAUGACAUCCUACUCUUCCCUCACCUUUCUACAAGUAGAGGAGUCUCUUCUCAUGGCCACCAUUGUCCCAGAUUAUCUCUCCAUACCUCGUGGCUGGAGCUGAGAAUGGGGGAUGAAUGGCAUAGCCAACUCAAGACUGUCUUUUCUACUGUCUUCAGUGUCUCUUUCAGUGAUAUGAAGUUAAAACCAGGAUGUGAGGUCUGGAACAGCUGCAGCCAUUUUGCCACCAUGGGAAACCUGGGACAUCUGAACUGACUCCAUGAAGCCUGAAGAGAAAGCUAAUAAGAAGGCAGAGAGAAGAGGAAGAGUCUUGGUCUUUGGAAAUAUCUUUUGGAGCUGCUGGAUCAAGUAUCACUUGAAGUAUUAUUGAAUUUAUUCCCCGAAGGAGAGCGGCUAAGAGUAUUGCCCAGCCACAGGCUCUCAACCACCAACCCGAGCCUCAGAUUCUCCUCACACAGCCACAGCUGUACCACAUGGCCCACGUGAAAUCUGAAUCCACAUGAAAACAAUGGCAACAAGAAAAAGGUGUAAACUUUCCAGAACAGGCCCAGAAUUUGAAAAUGUGAUAAAGAGGUUAUUGUGCGCCCGAACUUUUCACACAAGAAUUGGAGGAGAUUUAACACAUGGAAUAAUAAACAGAGGAAGGCGGGCUAAUGCAGAGCAGAUGGGCCUGCAGGGCAGUGCUCAGCAUUUCAACAUCUUUCCCCUGGACCUUUGGACCCAAGGUGAUUGCAUGCUGGUGUCUUUAGCUAAAAAUAAAGUUAAUGUCUUUGGGGCAAUCAUAAAUAUGGCUGCUUCAGUUUCUGGGGUGAUUGGUGGUCUAAAGUUUUCAAGAACCUACUAUGUGAAAGGCAUUUGACAUUCACUAAUUUAAUCCCAACUACUACUCCAUUUUGAAGGAAAAAAAUGAAGGCUCUGAAAGUGUAAAUCGCUUACUGAAGGGCACACGGCCAGGAUGACAGCGGAGCCAGGAUCACCCCAGGUCUGUCUCAUUGCAUAUGUCAUGGCUCUGCAAACUGGGGCAAUAGGUGAGCAGGGAGAAGAGUCAUGGCCAAAUAAAAUUGAGACAUACCGAUACACACACACACACACACACACACACACACACAUUUACACGGUAACAGCCUUAUUAAGGUACAACUAAUGUACAAUAAGGUGUACAUAUUUAAAGGAUACUAUUUGAUAAGUUUUGACAUAUGUCUGUACCUGGGAAACCAUCACUACAAUCAUGAUGGUGAGCAUAUCUAAUACUCUCAAAAGUUUCCUCUUGCCUUUUGUAAUUCCAUUCUGCCAUCCCACCUGUCCCUCCCACUCCUGAUCCCAGGCAACCACUG